GCCUGGAGGGCUCAGUCGGUUAAAGUGUCCGACUUCAGCUCAGGUCAUGAGCUCAUGGUUCAUGGGUCCGAGCCCCAUUUCGGGCU
rnacentral:tRNA from 1 species